CCACCGUCGCACCAUCUCCCUCCUCCCUCAUGACUAGCCGCAGCGCCAGGAGAUUGCCGCCCCUCCUCCCUCAUCAACAGGCGCAGCACUAGGAGAGUUGCCGCCGACGAGAUCCAGCGCCUCGCAAGGUCCUCCGGUCGGCUGUCGUGCCCGCCGCUCCUUCAACCAAAUUUGCGCCCUUGAUUCCCUCUUCUCUUGCGUCGCGCGGUGCCUGCUGCUCCACCAUGUCGCGGUUACCUCGUGGAUGACGGGGCCAUGGACCGGUCCUUGAAGGAGAGAAGGAGGAUGAGGGAGAGAGAAGGAAGGAGAGAGGAAAGAGGAGAGGGAGGUGCAGCGGCGGAUGGGAGAUAGUUAUCGGCCGGCAUCAGUCAUUCAUCCAUUCGCAUCUCUCCUCCUCUCCUGCUCUCGACCACUAAUGUGCCCCUCCUCCUUCCCUUCUCUUCUCACCAUCUCCUCAUCUUUGGAGCUAGCUGAGUGAUCCACAUCGAGGAAGAUGGGGAAGAAAGAGCCAACACCGCCGAUGCCCACGGGCCACUUCAGUCAGGCGCCUUCCAUUCUUCCUCCCUUAGGAUUUCCAAUCCAAGGUUAGUUUUCCUUUGUAUCUAUAUAUGCUUGACAAAAUGACAAGGCCUUGCAGCUGAAAAUAAAAUGGAGCCGGCAACAAGGAUGAUGGGAGAAACAACGGUGGCUGAACAGUAGAUACCGGAAGCUGGCCGAGAAAGAGGGAGGCAGUGCGGGGCGGAAGAGGGCAUCCAUGUGGUAUCCGUUUUUGCUCAUCUUUAGCUUACAGGUGAGCGUUUUACUAAAAUUGUAGCCAGUCCAUACUACAUGCUCCCUGAGGUAUUAAAGCACAACUAUGGCCCUGAAAUCGAUGUCUGGAUUGUAGGAGUUAUACUUUACAUACUUCUUUGUGGUGUGCAAACAUUUUUGGAAGAUUCUGAACAGGGAGUAGCACAAGCAAUUAUGUGCUCUGUGGUAGAUUUCAAAAGCGACCCAAGGCCCAGGGUAUCUGAGCCUGCUAAAGACUUUGUUCGGCAGAUGCUGGAUCGAAAUCCAAUCACACGGUUUACUGCAACACAAGUACUCAUAGGAUCUCCCUAAACAUGCGUCAUCAAAUCCAACCACAAGCUACACGACAAGCUAGAUUGAAUACCAUGUACAAGUAUGGGGACAGAGUAGUAAACAACAAAUAAAGGAUACUAGACGGAUAUACUGGACGGAUGCAUGGAGUAUGAACUCCUCUUUUUCAGGGGCCACCUUACUCGUGUGCCCUCAGGCUGAGGAGACCUUUCUAAGGUACGUACUACUUCCUUGCUGAUUUCAACCAAGAAAGAAUGUUAUUUCGUUCAAUAUAAUUAGUGGUGUCUGACAUUAGGAUCUCGUGUUUGAUCUACAUUUCUUUAUUCACUGAAUUUGUAGACCACUUGCGAGUCAGUACCUAGGAAAAUAAACAUUUUUCUACCUCAAAUUUGCAUAUCAAUCCUUGCCUAAAUAUUUCCCUGGGCCAAAUACACUUCUUAUCCCAAAGCGAUAAACAUGCCUACGUUAGCAUCACGACACACAUAGCACUAGCAAACAGUUCUAUAUGAAAUCCUGGAAGCAUUUCAUUUCCUCAGCAAUUAUUUUCUUCAAAUCUUUCAACAACAAGCUGACUGUUCAUGUCCUUAAUUAAUCUAAACCUACAUCCCUUGUUAAAUCUAAAGACAUGUUUGCAUAAUUUUGUGAGUUUUUUCCCAUGCUUUAUUGAUUGUUUUUCCGCUCUUAAUCUUUUGUUGUCUAUAAGUCACCAUAUGCAGAAGAUAGAUAUAGUUGUGAAGAUAAUGAAAGCUUAAUAGUUUUGUAUGGUGAAGCAACCAUUUUAAGGACAGCUGAUAAGGAAAAUUCAAACAAGGAUUAGUAGUCCAGUGUUUGGUUACUAUGCAACUAUCUUCAGCUUGAGUAAAUGCACAUUGUUCAGUUCCAAGCCAUGUUUUGUAGGCAUCUUCCUUUACAUUUGCUUUAUAAAAAUGGUUUGUUGAUCUAGCCGAGGGCUUCACUUCAUUCAAUUCACUCUAUUUCAUUUACUAAGAUAAAAAUUCAAGUAGCUGCUCUUGCUAUGGUCAAUGGCUUACACACUGUUUUUAUAGUGCACAAUGAGCGUUGCAAACCAUAAGAAAAACACAUUUUCUUGUUCUGUUCAGUGUGCCUUUUUACACCAUACUCUGCCAAUAUAUAAAUGUUUUAUGUCCAAUUCAUAGACAUUCUUGACGCCUAAGUGUGCUUGUGAGUCCCCUACAAAAUCAAUCUCUCUCUCUCUGUCUCUCUCUCUCUCCCUCUCUCUCUCCCUCUCCCUCUCUAAUUAUCUCGAUUUGCCUUUGAGAUUGGAGAUGCGAGCACUAGCUGUUUGUAUAAAUGCACAAGGAGUGCUUAGGGGAGGAAGAUAGCUUUCAGGUGUGCUUUCUUAGCACUAGCAGUACGAGAUGCCAAAUGUAAGUUAAGAAGCUUAUGAUUUGUGCCUUUUGUUCUUCACAUAAGUGUACAUGGAGGAUGUGAAAGCGACGACAGAGGAGCUUGCUGUAGCUUCUUGCCUGCUCCGGGAAUCCCUUCCCUCCUGACGAAGCACGAUGCCAUGUCCUAGAGUAUGUUCACGCAGUUCUAUGUAGAAGGGCCUUUUGUCCUAGAGUAUGUUCAUGUAUGUAUAUAUACUGACAAUUAUAUGUGACUGAUUAAUUAACUAAAACUUGAGAGGUGAAAAGGACAAGUGUUUUCAAAUGAAGGAAUAUAUUGUA